rnacentral:rRNA from 1 species
UACGUAGGGUGCAAGCGUUAUCCGGAAUUAUUGGGCGUAAAGAGCUCGUAGGCGGUUUGUCGCGUCUGCUGUGAAAAACUGGGGGGCUCAACCCCCAGCCUGCAGUGGGUACGGGCAGACUAGAGUGCGGUAGGGGAGAUUGGAAUUCCUGGUGUAGCGGUGGAAUGCGCAGAUAUCAGGAGGAACACCGAUGGCGAAGGCAGAUCUCUGGGCCGUAACUGACGCUGAGGAGCGAAAGCAUGGGGAGCGAACAGG